UACGUAGGCAGCGAGCGUUGUUCGGAGUUACUGGGCGUAAAGGGUGUGUAGGCGGUUGUUUAAGUUUGGUGUGAAAUCUCCCGGCUCAACUGGGAGGGUGCGCCGAAUACUGAAUGACUAGAGUGCGGGAGAGGAAAGUGGAAUUCCCAGUGUAGCGGUGAAAUGCGUAGAUAUUGGGAGGAACACCAGUGGCGAAGGCGGCUCACUGGACCGGUUCUGACGCUGAGGCACGAAAGCGUGGGUAGCAAACAGG
rnacentral:rRNA from 1 species